rnacentral:tRNA from 1 species
UAGAGAGAUAGGAAUU